ensembl:lncRNA
GGAUCGUAUAAUUAGCAGGAUCAACCGCGUGAACGUGACACAGGAAAGAAAUGUAAACUACUAUGAAUGGAAUGAUGCAACACAUUUUCUCAAGCUCUGUCAAGUUGGAUUGGGAGUGGAAGUAAACAGCAAUCUUCAAGUUUUUAAUGGGAUUCAAGUCUGGGCUUUGGCUGGGCCACUCAAGGACUUGUACAUUCUUGUUCUGAAUCCAUUCCAGCAUUGCUUUGGCUGAAGGCUUUGGACCAUUGUCCUGUUGGAUUGUAAAUCUUCACCCCCAGUCUAAGGUCAUUUUACUCUGAAGCAGGUUCUCAUCAAGGAUUUGCCUGUAUUUAUCUCCAGCCAUUGUUCCAUCUAUCCUUACCAGUCUCCCUGUCACACACCACCAUGCUUCACUGUAGGGAGGGUGUUAAACGAGUGAUGAUCUGUGCCUGGUUUUCUCCAGACAUAGGACUUUGCUUUCAGACCCAAGAGUUACAUUUUUUGUCUCAUCAGUCCACAGAAUCUUUUGCUUUCCUUUUUGCGAGCUCUAGGUGUGUUGCCAUGUGCGUUUUUCUCAGGAGUGGCUUCCAUAAAGUUGAAGUGACAUCCCAAGGAUGAUCAGAGGAAAUUGGAUGAACCUGAGCUCAAUUUAAACUUGGAGUGUCAUAGCAAAGGGGUGUGAAUAAGUAAGUAAAUGAAACAUUUCUGUAUUUAAUGUUCUAUUAAUUUGCAAGACAAUCUAAGAUCCUGUUUUCACUUUGUCAUUAUGGGGUAUUGUGUGAUAGCAAAGGGCUGUGAAUACUUAUGUACAUGUCAUAUUUCCGUAUUUCAUUCUAUAAACAUGUUUUCACUUUGUCAUUAUGGGCUAUUGUGUGAUAGCAAAGGGGUGUGAAUACUUAUGUACAUGUCAUAUUUCCGUAUUUCAUUCUAUAGACAUGUUUUCACUUUGUCAUUAUGGGGUAUUGUGUGAUAAAAAAGGGGUGUUAAUACUUUAAUUUUCAAUACAUUUGUAAACAUUGCAUUAUGGGGUAUUGUAAUCCAUUUCAAUUAAGGCUGAUGGGUGAGAAUUGUUUUUAAAUACAUAUGGAAUAAUAAGUGUGGAAUAAGUCAAGCAGGUAUGCAUACUUUUUGAAGGCACUAUAUGGUAUACAGAGAAAAAUAAAAUAAAAAGGUAAUUUUUUUGUCAACUCUGUAAAACAUUAACUCCGUCAGAGGGCUGAAAGAUGUGAUGGUUAUGUUUUUAUUAGGGAUUUUCAAAAUAAUACGUAUUUUACAAAUGUUUAUACUGAUCUUUUAUUUUUAGAGGCAAAAAUAUAUCUGUUUUGAGUAUCUGUUGUCAACUCCGUCACUGAUGGCUAACCUAAUUAAAUAAAUAUAUAUUUUAAAAUCACAAUUCUGC